rnacentral:sRNA from 1 species
GUCAGGGACACACUGACCACAGUACCCUCCACACUGACCACGCACCAACUCACCGUCCUGUAACCAAAAAUAGCAUUAAUAUUACAUAAUAAUGAACAUAUUUAAAAAUUGUACAAUUAUGAUAAUUUUUAAGUGCCAUAAGGUCAUCAAAUCAUUAAAAGAAAACUGUUUUCGGGUAAGAACCUUAAUUUACAGUUGACAAUUAUCUCUGAAUUCAUUUCAUUGUGGUAAAUGAACUACUUACGUUGAGUAUCUGGAUAUUCUUGGAGGCACUGGGACCCCUGAGGGACCAGCUGGUGUUCUGGGACACUAUAAAUCCUGUCCCUGCCAAGUUGAUGCUGAAUCGUCCCUAUAGCACAAUACAACUCUGUAACCACUGUAUCAUAGUUGUCUUAGCACAUUGCCAUCAUAGAUCAAAAUAUUAUAUUAGGCAUUUAAAAAUGUGGAGCUACACCACAUCAUUUCAUGAGGAUAAAGAAUUAAAGUAUUAUAAGAUAUCAUAAUUUAUUUUUAAAAA